CUGCAGUCCGGUCUGCACUUGGAAUCGUGCUGCCCACCCACCUCACAGCCUCCCUGGGCCUCGGUGGGUCCAUCUGCUUAGUGGGGUGCGGGGCGCUGGACCGGGGUGAGCACUGCUGUUCCGGUCCUGGAGCCCAGCUCCCUGCCCCCACCCCAAACUGAACUAUCUGAGAAAAGAGGAGCCAGCUCGUUUAAGAAUGAACAGUUGUUCCUCGCUCACAGAACCCUAUACUCUGGCUGUUACAGCUCAUUACUAAAUCUCGGCCGUGCCCUGAGAAGGAUUAAGGAACCGGCUCUGGUGAAAAUCCCUAGCAGAAAUAACAUGCUCCCGCCACAGGGAGCCCUGGAAAUUUGACUGCAGUAAUCCUGGUAAUCCUCUCCUGGCCCUCGCAUUCCGGCGUCUGCACCCCAACAGGGGCGGCCGCUUGUGGGCGCUUGCCUCUGCCCGGUUGGCAAAAGGAGGACCCGAGGCCGCAGCCUUCCGACGCUCGCGCAGCACUUCGGCCGCCCGGUUGCCGGGGAAGCUUUGUUAGGUUGACUUGCCCGAGGAAGGAACCUGAGUCCAGACAGCCAGAGGCCUUGCUGCCCCGCCCAGAACCUGCUGGUGACUCCGGCAGGCUUGGAGCCCAGGCGCCAGGUGGUGAGGAAGCCCAGGCCAUACACAGAGGUCCCACGUAGGUAUUUGCUCAGGCCAGCAGCCCAACAUCGACCUUCAACCUUUGAGUGAAGAAGCCUGCGCUGGACUCCAGCCCCAACCACCAUCUGACUACACAACCUGGAAGCGUCUGAGCAAGAACCUGGAGCUGAGCCCAGCCAGCCUCCAGAACUGUAAGAGAUGGUAACACAAUGGUUGCUGUUGCUUUAAGCCUCUGUGUUCUAGAAGCCUUCAUUAUGCAGUAACAGAUGCCUGAUACACCACCAGUAAGUGCAGCCAACCCGAGAAGCCAUUAGAAUAAAAAAUUUCUGCAUUAAAAAUAAUCAACAAGGUCAACAAACAAACCAGGAAAAAGACCAUAUUUGCAACUUCUAUUUACAGACAAAGGGCUUGUUCUCCACUGUACAAAUAGUUCCUACAAAUCAUCAAGCCAGGGAUGCCCCCAACGCACUUGACCAGGCAAAGGGCAUCAAUCAUAGUUUCCAGUUUAUAGUAAUGUAGUCUAUAGACAUGAAAAUGGCCCUUAAAUGAAUAAAAAGUGCUGAACUGGGCUCAAAAGAAAACCACAAAUUAAAAUUGCAAGAAUAUACCAUUUAAAAAACAAUACCCUGGAGAAAUAUGUGCUUUCACACAUUACUGGUAGGAGUGUAAACUGAACAACUUCCUUUCUUUUUUUUCAUCAUUGCCUUUUUUUCCCUUUUUAUUGUUGUUCAUGUGAAGUAGUCUCCCUUUCCCCUGCCCACUCCCCAUGCAUCCCCACCUCCCACCCUUGACCCUACCCCCUCUGGCUUUGUCCAUGCGUUCUUUACACCUUGAACUAUUUCUAUGAGAAGCAUUUUAUCUGUAUCUAUGAAAAUUCAUAGUGCACAUGCUUUUUGACCCAGCAAUUCUGCUUCUGGGAAUUUAUCUUGCAGAUGUAUUUACACAUGCGCAAACCAACAUCUGCCAAAGACUCAUCCUUGCAGUGCCAUAAUUGUAAUGAUGGAAAUGACCCGAGUGUUCAUGCGUAGGGACGGUGCGUUAUUCACUCCCCCAGUGAAAUGCUCUGCAUCGAUACAAAGAGGUACCACUCUGCACACUUCAGUGAGAAAACUGGGAAAUACAAAGUGUAUGUGCUUCCAUUUAUGUGCAAAUGUGUGCGUGUGUGUGAAGCACCUCUGAAAAAUGUGGCUGCCCUGGGGAGAGGGCCUGAGUGGGGGAGAGACAGGGUAGGAGGGAAAGGAUUUUCACCUUGCACCCUUGGGAAUGCGUAGCUCAUUCACUUAUUAUCUAUUUCAAAAACUAAGAAAACAUUCACUUAAAAAUAGUACCAGAAUAACUAGUUAACCAUCUGGAAAACAGUAAGAACAGCCCCACCUCAAACCGUAUGCACAAAAAGUUUCAAGUGGAGCCAAGAUUUAAAUGUCAAAGUGAAAUUAUAAAAGUCCCACAAAAACUUCUUUUUCUACUGUCAUUCUGAAUUUUUGUACACUGCACAUUUCAAGUCCCCUGCCGGACCUGACCCUGAUCUUCACCCAGUCGCCCAGGUGUCUCCCAGGCUGCCACUUCCAAGCCUAUGUAUGACUCUGGAACAGCAGCCCCAGCCCCCGCCUGUCACUGACCUUCAGACUCUAAACCACCCCCUCCCAGGCCCCUCCCCCUGAGCACCCUGAACAGCCGGAAACUCAGCCCCUGCCCAGCUGAACUCAGCUGCCUUCUCCACUACCCCCAAUGCCUGCACACCCCCUGGAUAUCCACCAAAGUGACAGCCUCCUCCAAGAGUCCUCCCCAAGCCAAUGCCUAAAAGUCGUCCCUCACCUGUCCCCUUCACAUCCUGCUACAGACCAAAUGUUUGUGUUCCUUCCCCAAUAAAAAUUCAGAUAUUGA